rnacentral:rRNA from 1 species
CCUACGGGAGGCUGCAGUGAGGAAUAUUGGUCAAUGGACGAGAGUCUGAACCAGCCAAGUAGCGUGAAGGAUGACUGCACUAUGGGUUGUAAACUUCUUUUAUAAAGGAAUAAAACGAGGCACGUGUGCCUUGUUGCAUGUACUUUAUGAAUAAGGAUCGGCUAACUCCGUGCCAGCAGCCGCGGUAAUACGGAGGAUCCGAGCGUUAUCCGGAUUUAUUGGGUUUAAAGGGAGCGGAGAUGGGUUGUUAAGUCAGUUGGUAAAGUUUGGGGCUCAACCGUAAAAUUGCAAUUGAUACUGGCAGUCUUGAGUACAAGUGAGGUAGGCGGAAUUCGUGGUGUAGCGGUGAAAUGCUUAGAUAUCACGAAGAACCCCGAUUGCGAAGGCAGCAUACU